CAUGUCUCUUUCUAAACUCUCUUUGAAGGAUAAAAGUGUCGAAGAUUGAGUUGGAGGUACCUCUGAUGGUAUAUAUAGAGACUAGAAAAAAUCUUUGCGCUGUUGAGUACGGUUGCUCCUUAUGGGGUACUCGUAAUUUUUUGGGCAAACAUGU